rnacentral:rRNA from 1 species
UACGUAGGGCGCAAGCGUUAUCCGGAGUUACUGGGCGUAAAGCGCGGGCAGGCGGCUCGAUGCGUCUGAUGUGAAAUCUCCUCGCUCAACGGGGAGAGGCCAUUGGAAACGGUCGAGCUGGAGGGCAGUAGAGGUAGGCGGAAUUCCGGGUGGAGUGGUGAAAUGCGUAGAGAUCCGGAGGAACACCAGAGGCGAAGGCGGCCUACUGGGCUGCACCUGACGCUGAGCCGCGAAAGCCAGGGGAGCGAACGGG